rnacentral:rRNA from 1 species
UCAUUGUAGCAAUACAAGGCAGACGGCUCAGUAACGCGUAGUCAAUCUACCCUAUGGACGGGAAUAAUCUCGGGAAACUGAGAAUAAUGCCCGAUAGAACAUUAUGCCUGGAAUGGUUUAUGUUUCAAAUGAUUUAUCGCCAUAGGAUGGGACUGCGGCCUAUCAGUUUGUUGGUGAGGUAAUGGCCCACCAAGACUAUUACAGGUACGGGCUCUGAGAGGAGUGGCCCGGAGAUGGGUACUGAGACACGGACCCAGGCCCUAUGGGGCGCAGCAGGCGAGAAAACUUUGCAAUGUGCGAAAGCACGACAAGGUUAAUCCGAGUGGUUUCUGCUAAAGAAACCUUUUGUCAGUCCUAGAAACACUAACGAAUAAGGGGUGGGCAAGUCUGGUGUCAGCCGCCGCGGUAAUACCAGCACCCCGAGUGGUCGGGACGAUUAUUGGGCCUAAAGCAUCCGUAGCCGGUUUUACAAGUCCUCCGUUAAAUCCAACUGCUUAACAGAUGGGCCGCGGAGGAUACUAUAAGACUAGGAGGCAGGAGAGGCAAGCGGUACUCAGUGGGUAGGGGUAAAGUCCGUUGAUCCAUUGAAGACCACCAGUGGCGAAGGCGGCUUGCCAGAAUGCGCUCGACGGUGAGGGAUGAAAGCUGGGGGAGCAAACCGGAUUAGAUACCCGGGUAGUCCCAGCUGUAAACGAUGCAGACUCGGUGAUGGACUAGCUUAAUGCUAGUCCAGUGCCGCAGGGAAGCCGUUAAGUCUGCCGCCUGGGUAGUACGGUCGCAAGACUGAAACUUAAAGGAAUUGG